rnacentral:rRNA from 1 species
UACGUAGGGUGCGAGCGUUAAUCGGAAUUACUGGGCGUAAAGCGUGCGUAGGCGGUUCGUUAAGUUCGUUGUGAAAGCCCCGGGCUCAACCUGGGAAUGGCAAUGGAAACUGGCGGGCUGGAGUAUGGCAGAGGGGGGUGGAAUUCCGCGUGUAGCAGUGAAAUGCGUAGAGAUGUGGAGGAACACCGAUGGCGAAGGCAGCCCCCUGGGCCAACACUGACGCUCAGGCACGAAAGCGUGGGGAGCAAACAGG